rnacentral:rRNA from 1 species
CCUACGGGAGGCAGCAGUGGGGGAUAUUGCACAAUGGGGGAAACCCUGAUGCAGCGACGCCGCGUGGGCGAAGAAGUAGUUCGGUAUGUAAAGCUCUAUCAGCAGGGAAGAAGAAAUGGCGGUACCUGAGUAAGAAGCACCGGCUAAAUACGUGCCAGCAGCCGCGGUAAUACGUAUGGUGCAAGCGUUAUCCGGAUUUACUGGGUGGAAAGGGAGCGCAGGCGGGACGGGAAGGCUGAUGUGAAACCCCGCGGCGCAACCGCGGGACUGCAUUGGGAACUACCGGGCUGGAGUGCCGGAGAGGUAGGCGGAAUUCCUAGUGUAGCGGUGAAAUGCGUAGAUAUUAGGAGGAACACCAGUGGCGAAGGCGGCCUACUGGACGGUGACUGACGCUGAGGCUCGAAAGCGUGGGGAGCAAACAGGAUUAGAUACCCCAGUAGUC